rnacentral:rRNA from 1 species
UUAAAUCUAUGCGCUUAACGUAUAGGCCGCCGAAAAUACUGGACAGCUAGGGAGUGGGAGAGGUACACGGUACUCAAUAGGAAGGGGUAAAAUCCUUUGAUCUAUUGAUGACCACCUGUGGCGAAGGCGGUGUACCAGAACACGUUCGACGGUGAGGGAUGAAAGCUGGGGGAGCAAACCGGAUUAGAUACCCGGGUAGUCCCAGCUGUAAACGAUGCAGACUCGGUGAUGCAUUGGCUUGUGGCCAAUGCAGUGCCGCAGGGAAGCCGUUAAGUCUGCCGCCUGGGAAGUACGUACGCAAGUAUGAAACUUAAAGGAAUUGGCGGGGGAGCACCACAAGGGGUGAAGCCUGCGGUUCAAUUGGAGUCAACGCCAGAAACCUUACCCGGGGCGACAGCAGAAUGAAGGUCAAGCUGAAGACUUUACCAGACAAGCUGAGAGGUGGUGCAUGGCCGUCGCCAGCUCGUGCCGUGAGAUGUCCUGUUAAGUCAGGUAACGAGCGAGACCCCUUGCGUCUAGUUGCUACCAUUACUCUCUGGAGUAGUGGAGCGAAUUAGACGGACCGCCACAGUUAAUGUGGAGGAAGGAAGGGGCCACGGCAGGUCAGUAUGCCCCGAAACCCUGGGGCCACACGCGGGCUGCAAUGGUAUUGACAAUGUGUUCCGAAUCCGAAAGGAGGAGGCAAUCAUCAAACGAUACCUCAGUUAUGACUGAG